rnacentral:lncRNA from 10 species
UGGGACCCGGGAGGGGAGGCGGCUCGGUCCUUCGUGCCGUCCUCCCCGCUGGGAGGGGCAGCUCCAGCUCCGCUCGGCUCGCUCCGCCCGGCCACACCGGCUUUUUCCCCAUCAGGCGGUCCGAGUGCGGCUCCUCGCGAGCCUGCAAAGGAGCAGCAGGCGGUUCCUUUUCGGACGACCUGGAGCGAGGCCUGCGGGACUGCGCGCCCCGGCGGGCGGCGUGCGGCUCCCGGCAUGCGCGGCGGCUGCGUUCCCGCCGCCUCCGAGCUCGCCUGGGGCUGCCGCCCGCCUCCUGCCGGGCCCUCGGGCUCGCCCGGCACCGCGGGGCUUGAUCAGGGAGAUAUUUUAGUACAACAUCUUUUCAUCACAGAAAUGAUAUCUUCAGGGAAAAGACUUCGAAAAAGUGCCUGAAGUGACACAACACAUGUUUUCUUCUGGUAUCUGGCUAAAGCCUUCUCUUCUAAGCAGCAUAAACUACUGCUGCCUACAUGUUGCCUGUUCAUAAAGGCUGAGGCAGGGGAGUCGCUUGAACUCGGGAGGCGGAGGUUGCAGUGAGCCGAGAUCAUGCCAUUUCCCUCCAGCCUGGCGACAGAGCAAGACUCCAUCUCAAAAAAAAGAAAAGAGAAGAAAAAAACAAAGAACUUUAUGCACCUUCUGGAAUAACAAAAUGCAAAUGUAAUGUUAUCUACCAGGAUAGAAAUUGGAGGCUAGAAUAUGUUGGGUAGGGUAGAGAGACUAGAGGGAAUGAUUUAGCAAUAAAAUAGGUUUAAAUAUCUUCUCA